rnacentral:rRNA from 1 species
AUUGAACGCUGGCGGCAUGCCUUACACAUGCAAGUCGAACGGCAGCGGACCUUCGGGUGCCGGCGAGUGGCGAACGGGUGAGUAAUAUAUCGGAACGUACCUUUCAGUGGAGGAUAACGUAGCGAAAGUUACGCUAAUACCGCAUAUUCUGUGAGCAGGAAAGCAGGGGAUCGCAAGACCUUGCGCUGAUUGAGCGGCCGAUAUCAGAUUAGCUAGUUGGUGAGGUAAAGGCUCACCAAGGCGACGAUCUGUAGCGGGUCUGAGAGGAUGAUCCGCCACACUGGAACUGAGACACGGUCCAGACUCCUACGGGGGA